AAGGUUUACAAGACAAUAGAAGCCAAUACAAUAGAGAUUUGGCUUUAUCAUUAUAGCCACCUCUUCACUUUCUUUCUUUAUGGCAAUAAGUGCGAUGAUGGUGGUUACAAUCGAGGGUAAGUUCAUUUCUCAUCUUCCUAAUCUCUCUAUCUUUUCUAAUCCAAACUGAAAUGAUGCAGUUGCUUUGGCCAGGAUUCAAACCACGACCCGAAACGUCCGACCCCUUGCCUCCUUGAACCAUCUGCCAUUUAACACAUUACAAAUUGCCUUCUUUUUCAUCUUAUCUUCCAAAAACCCUAGCUCCUCAAACUCUGCCGUUUUGUAUUCAUUAUAAGCCGCGUCCGACAUUCGAUUGAUAUGUUGUGUAGAUAAUCCAGUACAUACAUCAUCGGGUUCUUCUUUCUCAUCGUCUUACUGUUGUGUUUUCGAAAUGGUCUCUUGUUCGCGAAUUGAAGGAGGACAAGAGGUGCGCAAUUUAUCAGCCGGUGUUCGUGAAACCAUUCAAUCGAUCAAAGAAAUCGUUGUAGGCUACCCUUAAAGUGACCAACAUGGACCUUGAGAGAUCGUUCAGAAAUUUUUAUAUCCAGGGAUUGUACUUUCAGCAGGAUUGGAAUUUCAUGUUUGCCUUAAUGCCACUGAGGAAUUUCCAAAGAUGAUUAAUUUUUUGAUAUGCUAGACAGUUUGUUGAAGUUUCAUGAAUUUUCUGUUGGAAAUUUCUAUCGUAUGUGGAAUUUAUAUAACAUUCAAGAGUUUCAUAUUCAAAUGUUACGAAGGUUGUAUCACUUCACCUCGUAGUUUUGCAAAUUUUAAUCUCAUAUACUGUUCAACAAAGCUCUUCAACUAUAUUUAUAUGUGUAGAACAUGAAUUCCUUGUUUGUUUGGUUCUUGAUUUAGAAUAUUCGUUGUCAAUUUGCAGUUCAACAUUUGCACAUAUACAAAGUGAUGGACAAAUUAAGGCUAAAGGACUUGCUUCCUUGACUUCAUCUCUUCCUAAAGUCCAAUUUUGACCCGGCGCCUAAAAGAGCGAACCAGAUGUCACGAGAAGAACACCUGAUUAUUUCUUGUGAAGUUGAGUAAUACUCGUGACUGGUUGAAUCGCUGUUUUGAUCUAACAAAUAUCGGCGCAAGUUCUUCAUUGGUGGAUGCGCGAAAGUUCUUCAUUGAUUCGCUCUUCCACGUUGCACUAUCGACGAUAUCGAGUACGAGCUACACGGGGAUGGAUCUCGUGUCGUUUCAAAAGUACCCAAAUGGGCUCACGAGAAGUGGCUCCGCAAGUAUCAGAUGAUUCUCCUGAAGACACCUCACCAAGUGAAACCACCUCGAGAGACGCUACUGCUGAUGGUGGAAAGCGCCCUUGUGAGGAUCAUCCAAACUCUGCAUUAGCAACUGCUUCUAUAUAAAUAUACAACUUCUAUGUGAUUUUUUAUCGUUUUAAGGUUUAAGGUUUGAGUUAUGUUUC